rnacentral:rRNA from 1 species
ACUCGUAGACUCCUACGGGAGGCAGCAGUGGGAAUAUUGGACAAUGGGGGAACCCUGAUCCAGCCAUGCCGCGUGUGUGAAGAAGGCCUUAUGGUUGUAAAGCACUUUAAGCGAGGAGGAGGCUACUAGUAUUAAUACUACUGGAUAGUGGACGUUACUCGCAGAAUAAGCACCGGCUAACUCUGUGCCAGCAGCCGCGGUAAUACAGAGGGUGCGAGCGUUAAUCGGAUUUACUGGGCGUAAAGCGUGCGUAGGCGGCCAUUUAAGUCAAAUGUGAAAUCCCCGAGCUUAACUUGGGAAUUGCAUUCGAUACUGGAUGGCUAGAGUAUGGGAGAGGAUGGUAGAAUUCCAGGUGUAGCGGUGAAAUGCGUAGAGAUCUGGAGGAAUACCGAUGGCGAAGGCAGCCAUCUGGCCUAAUACUGACGCUGAGGUACGAAAGCAUGGGGAGCAAACAGGAUUAGAUACCCUGGUAG